ensembl:lncRNA
CCUCUCUCUCUCUCUUUCUGCUGUACUCAUAUGUUAGCCUUGCUUCCAGAUUCAGGACCCAGUCUUUUCCCAGCCCAGCGGGAUGCCCCAGAAACCCCUCAGCAACAUGACUCUGCACCCUCUACGUCAGAAGGCUGGUUCCUGGUGGCCUUUUUGCUCUGUCACCUUGCACACGUCACGAUAGAGGACCGAGUCGGAGAAGGCAAUGGCAACCCACUCCAGUACUCUUGCCUGGAAAAUCCCAUGGACGGAGGAGCCUGGUAGGCUGCAGUCCAUGGGGUCGCUAGGAGUCGGACACGACUGAGCGACUUCACUUUCACUUUUCCCUUUCAUGCAUUGGAGAAGGACAGACUGGAAGUAUGAGGAAUAUGAAUCCCCACUAAGUGCAUCUUUCAACCAACGACUGAGGGGAUUUUGUGAGAUGGUCGGUUGGAGUUGGCUCAUACUGACCUGCAAAGUUUGAUUGUUAAAUUUUCUGAAAUUUUGUCAGUCAGUUGUUAAACACAGCUGUUACUAAAAAUUAAAUUAUAUACACUUGCAUUAUAAUUAAGUAAAUUAUGUUAAAAGUAAAGGUAAUUUCUAUUACUUUCUAAUUAUUUUACUACAUUUUAUGUUUUCCUGUACUCUUGUCUUUUGUAUUAAGUAAGUGGCUACUAUGGUUCUUUUCUCAGCUCCAUGUUCAAUGACAUUAUAUUGGUAGCUUUAAAUCAGCCAUGAUGGGAGGAGAAUUUACACCAUGGAAAUUGGCAAAUGUUACAAAUCAGGGAUCACUCAACCCCACUCUCACUCCAGCUGGAAAACGUGUUGUUAAAGAUUUACCAACACAUUACUGAGAUGGUAAAUAAAUACUCAAGCUCUUUUACCCCUCA